GGAGGUGGAAGGGACCCCCCGAUGGGCUCCAGGAGGGAAGCAGGUUGGGCCGGAGCAGGCGAGGAACGGGCCAUAAAGGGAGAGAGGCGGCUGGCUGCGGCGAGGGAGGGAGAGGCGCCGGCAAACACAGGUUCAUUAAUCUGUAGUUCGUCUGCCUUUUCUGUUAGGAGGAUGAACUUGAUGAGUUAAUUAAGUCGCAGUCUGUAAAACCAGUUUAUUUGCAUAGGAAACUCCUGGGCCAGCGUGUUGUGGGCGAAUCCAACAGGUCGCAUCAGAGACAGCAGAGCUUCUCCAGAGACCCCACACUGCAGGGGUCGGGGGAGAUGGUGCCCACCCCCCCUCCACAGAAAAAGCACCAGGCCCUGACGGUGUUAUAGGGAAGGAGACCCCAGGAGCGUCAGGAGGAACGUGGAAUGUGGCCUGUGAGAAAGGGACCAACGUGGGAAGUCGCACCACUGGUGUCAGUUGGGAAACGAAGUCCCGGGUGAUGGUGGCGUGAGAAGGACAAGCUCCCACCUCGGUGGCCCACGGGGACUGUCAGACAAAUCUCAUGCUAAGGGAAAGAAGCCACAAACAAGAGCGUGCACAGGGACGUCCUUUAACAGGCCAGUGGAAACGGCAAAACUGAACCUCGGGGUGGGAAGGAGUGGGCAGGCAGGGUGGCGGCGACGGCCCCACAGAGAAACCAGGACGCGUUUUCCUCGGGUGACGGGAAGGGUGUGUCCCUGGGUUGUGCAGAUGACGUGGAGGUAUCCAUUUAUCAAAACUGACCGAAUUACGCACUUAAAACGGGUGCAUCCUUGCGUUGAAUAUAACUUGGCCUCAAUGGUUUAUUUUUUAUUUUUAUUUUUUUUUUAAUAUUUAUU